rnacentral:rRNA from 1 species
CAGUCGCCACGGUAAAACGGAGGGUGCAAGCGUUAAUCGGAAUUACUGGGCGUAAAGCGUGCGUAGGCGGUUCGUUAAGUCUGUUGUGAAAGCCCCGGGCUCAACCUGGGAAUGGCAAUGGAUACUGGCGAGCUAGAGUGUGUCAGAGGAUGGUGGAAUUCCCGGUGUAGCGGUGAAAUGCGUAGAGAUCGGGAGGAACAUCAGUGGCGAAGGCGGCCAUCUGGGACAACACUGACGCUGAGGCGCGAAAGCGUGGGGGGCAAACAGGAUUAGAUACCCCCGUAGUCCCUGUCUCUUAUAC